rfam:Vitis vinifera, whole genome shotgun sequence of line PN40024, unoriented chromosome 1, chr1
GUGUCCCCUAGAGUUCCCCUUACCACUUCACUGGGGAUCUUCUCUAAUGAAUGCCUACGUACUGAAGUGUUUGGGGGAACUCCUGGUGCCAU